rnacentral:snRNA from 1 species
GGAUGUGAGGGCGAUCUGGCUGUGACAUCUGUUACCCUCAUUGAUCGCCAGCAUUGAUUUAGCUGGUCUGGCUGGCUAGGUGGGUGUCCCUUCCUCCCUCACUGCUCUAUGUACAUCCCUCCCAAAGCUGCACACCAUCAGUUGAAGAGGAUGACCACCCCCAAUAGAGGAGGACCGUUUCUUCGCUCAGGGUUAUACAAGUAGCUAUGCUCUCCUGCUAGAACGUCCAAACAAGCUCUCAAGAUGAAUACAGAAACUACACAGAUCAUAAUUGCACAGCUUGAUGAUUUAUCAAGUGAAUGCACUCA